rnacentral:lncRNA from 1 species
GAUAUGUUAACAAAGUCUCUUGGACGAUUACAGUUUCAGUCUUUUCGAUCCAAGAUUGGCGUUUCCGAUGGAACCUUCAUCUUGCGGGGGCGUAUUAAGGAUAAAGCCUAGCUCUAACUACUUAUCUCUAACCUAUCUAGCUUAGCUGUAAUUUGUAUAGCUGUAAUUUGUAUUCCAUAUUUUACGCAUUCUUAGCUGUAACCUAUCUAUAUAAGUG